rnacentral:tRNA from 1 species
UGAGUAGUUCAAUGGAUAGAACGUCGGUUUCCUAAACCGUAAAUUUGGGUUCGAUUCCCAGCU